UACGUAGGGGGCAAGCGUUGUCCGGAAUCAUUGGGCGUAAAGAGCGUGUAGGCGGCCCGGUAAGUCCGCUGUGAAAGUCCAGGGCUCAACCCUGGGAUGCCGGUGGAUACUGUCGGGCUAGAGUCCGGAAGAGGCGAGUGGAAUUCCCGGUGUAGCGGUGAAAUGCGCAGAUAUCGGGAGGAACACCAAUUGCGAAGGCAGCUCGCUGGGACGUUACUGACGCUGAGACGCGAAAGCGUGGGGAGCAAACAGGG
rnacentral:rRNA from 1 species